AGGGCACAGGUGUCACAGACUACACACACCUGUGAGGACAUUCAUGCCUGCUGAUGACAGAGAGGAACAGAGGUGGAUGGAGUCAGCAUUAACCUAAGUUUUACAAUAAGCAUUUGCUCAGAUACAAGGUAAAAUGGAAACAACGUCCUCUUCACUGAUUCUUCUGAAGUGACUGUCUUACUACACAGACUCCUAUGUUUCAGAGGCUGCAUGAGGGAUAUGCUAAGCCUGGGACUAUAUUCACUGAGAUGCACUUCACUUUUGAGGUAGAAACAACAAAUUAAAAUCCACUUUCCUUCGUUGAUUCCUACUAGAAUUUGUGGAGACAUGCUUGUAGCAAAACACAUUCAUGAGGGAGGCUUUCCUUGCAGGGUGUCAAUUUUGAUCAACCUUGUUUCAAUGUUAAGAUAUAAUGAUUUGUUAAUUGGAAGAGAACAGAUUCAGGAGCAAUUAGUCUGGCUUGCAGCUGCAGUUAAAGAAACUUGUGGAGUGCCAAAGAUACAAAUUCUGGUCAUGUGUGACUUGUUAAAUAAUCAGUGCAUAGCCCCCUUCCCCCUGAGGACUGAAACCUGCAUGGUAAAUUCAGGGAAUUCCAUGCAGUCUGAUAGCUGAAGUGGAAGAUGAUCUGCAGACUGGUGAGCUGGAGCAUAUUCAAGAUCUAAGCUACCGCUGUGACUGUUUUACAGCCAAAAUGAACACAAAUUGAAGUUUCCCUUUUAACACUUUAAGCUUUUUUGUAGGUUCAUUCUCCUUUCUCUUUCAUUUAAAAAAAAAAAAAAAGUUUUCUGACCCAACUGCAAGCAAGAUAAGUUACCACAUCUUUCUUCUGUUAUUGUUUAGAAUUUUUAGAGCUGACUUCAUGAAAUAAUCUCAAAUGUCUUCAUGAUAACCCCAUUCACCCAUUCAGACAGGGUGAUUUUUGGCUUGUUUUCUUUAGGUCAUUGUCAGCCUAACUAAUGUUUUGCAUUUACUGAAGUUUCCUCUUUCAUGAAAAAUUUCAGCAGCCUUCACAUAAACAGCACAUGAUAUGUUUGUGUCUUGUUCUAAUUUACUUGUAUAAAUCACUCUCUUCUUCUGGGCUGUGGAGUCUUUAGAGGACUAUGAUGUAACUGUUCUGUCCAAUUCAGUAUCCUAAUAACAAAGAUACAGUCAAUGAGGCAGAGGAGAAAACUGGGAGCUACUUAAUCUCUUUUGUAUCUGUUCCUUUAAGUGUGGUUUGGGCAAGAAAUCUGUUGAAGUAGAAGCAUCAUGAUGAUUCUAUGGCAAAGUUUGAUGGCUGCUAGAAUAUUUCUAUUUUGUUGUUGUUGUUGUUUGUUUUAGGAAUACUCAUUUAAUUAACUGUAAUAUAGACUGAAAAUUUGAC
ensembl:lncRNA